CGCCGGCCGCGCGGGGGCCGCCGGACUCUGGCCGCCGGGGCUCGCUCGGGCGCCCUCGCUUAGCGGCCGGGGAUUCGGUUCCGGGAAGCGGGAGCUGCGGGCUAAGGACGUCGCGGCGGAGGGACUGAGAGGCUACCGGGGGAGCGGCGGGCUGCGGGGCGGGGAGGGGGAUGCUCUAAACGACGCGGGGGCUCGGGGCGCCCCGGGAGGGCCAGGCCGGGGUCCUGUGCGCGGUCUGGGGGCCCAGGCCUCGAACCCUGCUCCCGGGAGUCCCGACGGGGGGGUGGCGGUGUGCCUCCCCCCAGGCGGCCUGGGAACCCGGCUGUCGGGCAACUGCGCUCCCCCCCGCCGCCUGCCCCGCUUCGGCGCCGGUGGCACAGGCUCCCGGCGGGGCCGCCCAGGAGCAGAGAGAGAGACCGGGCUGCUGCUGCCGUGACACCUCCUCCUCUGUGGAAAGGCUUUCACGGCCCUUGUAGGCGCCUGCCCGCAGGCGGGGAGGAGGGCGCCGUGCAGGCUCGCUGCACAAAAACAGCUCCCGGGACGCUGCUGACUGUGUCCAGCUGGCCCGCUGCUACUUAGUUGGCGGUUUCUUGCAUAACUGUGACUGCGGGUCUCAGUUACAACCCUUUUAAGGGUCGGAGGAAACACCCUUUCCAGCGUGGCGCUGCUGUCCGGCUUCACUCGUGUUGAGAGCAUUCCAAGAUUUUAUUUAUUUAUUCAUAGAGACACAAGACACAGGCAGAGGGAGAAGCAGGCUCCACGCCGGGAGCCCGACGGUGGGUGGGACUCGAUCCCGGGACUCCAGGAUCAGGCCCUGGGCUGAAGGCAGGUGCUAAACCGAUUUGGUGCCAAGGCCCACCUUCCAAGGCAGAGGAGCAUGAAUGUGGUAGCUGCGUUCUCAAAACGAUCCUUUUCAUCUCUUCGGAAAUAACUUCUGUUUUAGUCCACCAGCUGCUGGAACAGUUUGGUUUAGAGGCCUCAGAGAGAUCUCAAAACAUCAUCCCAAGUAUGUGGAAGGAAGUAGGAAAAGGCAAACAAGUACACGUGGUCUGCUAAAAUACAUGUAUAUAUAUGUACAUGUUUAUCAAUAAGUAGUAAAACAAAAUGUAGCACUGCCAUCAUUUGUAAAACGAGCUGUGCUCAGCCUCUUUUUCUUGUAUCUUUUUUUUUUCCUAAUUACUAAAUCGCUGUAAUGCUGGGUUGUGAAGAAGAUCGUAACAAGUAAUCCAUUUUUGAAGUCCCGAAAAGUAGAGAGGAACUGCCAGUGUCUAAUAUUAAAGGUGAUAGUAAUUCAAAAUUAAUGAUGAAGGUGCCUUAACGAUUGGAGCUUCCUGUGCCUCACACCAGUUUCUUUAUUGGAUUACUAGAGUGGUAAGUAAAAGGGAAAAGCCCCAAGAACACAGUAACCAUGGCAGUUAAAGAAUUCUGGAAUCAGAAGAAGGAUGCGGAUGAUAAAGUCUUGAAUUAAUAUCUGUACUACAUUUUAUCAUUAUCUCACAAAAAAAAGGAUUGUACGAGUUACAUGUGUGUUUUCUGAAAGCACAUCACAAGCUUCUUAAACUAUGCCAUUUGGACGUAAUAUACUACACGUAAACUCUGUAGACGCUUUUCUUGCAAAAUAAGUCUUAGUAAAUUUGUAAUAAAAUAUUGAACCUUGGA